CUUGGUGUUAAACUUUGAGCCCACCCUUCAUUUUCUUUCUGGAAUCGCCACUGGGCCGGGGAGCUGCUGACGGGUGCCGCAUCUGAAUCCAUGCCGGACCUCUUAUUGCAAGCUCGGAACACACUGCUCGAAGGUGACCGGAUGCCUGGAGCAACUGUCGAUGCAGCAGAGGGUCAGCUGUUCUGCACUGGAUCGGGGAGAUCAGUUUCUGUCAGUUAGAGGGCUAUAAAGAGGGCACGGGGAAUUGGUCAGGAAGGAGGUGGAGAAGACUGAUAUCAAGAGAAGUAAUAGAACAAACGUUUGACAACGUACCUGAUGCAGAGGGCGUGUCGAGAUAAAUGGACACUCCAUUUAGAGGCAAG